GAACUUAUAACACAUUUUUGACUACUAAACGAUCUCGUAUGAAAAAGUUGUCAACUAUAAAGUUUAAAAUCUUAUCGAACUCGACAAUUUUGAUAUAAAGUUUGUAUUCAUCCGAGAUCGUAUGCAAAAGUUUGUAUUAAAAAAAUAUAGCCUUCAACCUAAUUAUUCCCAUUGUUUCUAUUUACAUACAGAGCCCAACAACGGUUGUACCGUCAUCAUCGUCAUACAUCUUGACGCCGCUCCCAUUGUAGGUCACCUUCUACCGCGGCAAUGGGACUUCGAGCGGCGGUACGCCUCUCAGAGCUGUGCUCACCCCCGCUUCUAUCGGAACGCACGAGUUCCAUGUGUGGAUCCCACGUAAUAAACAGAUGGCAUCAAACCACCCACAAAUAUCUUCUACUACUAUACUUGCAAAGAGAGGACUACUAGGGACAAUGCAUCAACAUAUUAUGAAGCGAAACUAACAUAUUAGGAACAAACGAAUAAUAAUAUGAGAGCAAGUAAGGACGACCCGUAGCAACGCAUGAGCAUUUCCGCAAGUUACUACUACAUACAGAUAUAUUUUUUUCACGAUGGGAUCAUAACAGGGGUUAAGUCUAGCUAAUUAACAUACUCCAUAUGGGCUACUGCAUGUAUACACGAUCGAGUUUCGAGUCGAGCAUAUAUGAUGCUUAAUUCAUGUUGGACGAUGGAACCACAUCUUCCGCUGCUUGAUGAACUCCUCCGCCAUCUUGUUGAUGUCGUCUCCUUCGCCACCGCCGCCGCCUCGUGGAGCACGCGCCAAGCCGUAGACGGAGGGCCUGGACACCACGUUGUGGACCUCGAUCUUGGGCACCUUCUCAACGGCCACCUCCCCGGCCGCGCCGGCGGCCGGAGCAGGGUUCUUGCCCCAACGAAUCAUCUCCUCCUUCUUGCUACCCGCACGAGCCUAGCAAGCAAGCUAAGGACUGCUCAGACGAUGGUUCUCCGGUAAUUUUCCUGAUCGAUCAGAUCGUUUGGAUUGAGUUGGCUGGACGAGGAUGGAGUUGGCAACCGAUGGACUAGGUUUAUAUAGCGAGCGAUCCUCUUGUCACUUAGCUACCGGUUCUUGGACGUUGAUGCACGUGUUCUCAGGCAUCCGAUUGCUUUAGAUAAUUAUUAGGAUGAGUGCCCCAGGUCCAUAGCCAUGCGUCUUGGUCAGUAGAGGUGACAUGUUUGGCAACUUGUCCGGUCUCAGAUGGCUGCUGUAAGGGAUCCCUGCAGAGAUGCGAGCAGCUUGGCUACGCUACCAACAACCGUCAGCCGUGUUGCCUGCCACUUGCAUUGCUGCUACGUCAAGUUCGUCGCUGCUGGGGCUGGGGCAGCAUCUUCGGCGGAAUCCUAGCUUUGGGUAAAGCGCUUGCAGGCGUGUUGCGCGUUUCGCCACUGUAUAUCUGAACAUUUUUGGUUGAGCAAUCGUGCGCCACACCCUCAAAG
rnacentral:lncRNA from 1 species